rnacentral:rRNA from 1 species
UACGUAGGGGGCUAGCGUUGUCCGGAUUUAUUGGGCGUAAAGAGCUCGUAGGUGGUUCGGUAAGUCGGAUGUGAAAUCUCCAGGCUCAACCUGGAGGGGUCAUUCGAUACGGGCAGACUAGAGUUCGGUAGGGGAGUCUGGAAUUCCUGGUGUAGCGGUGAAAUGCGCAGAUAUCAGGAGGAACACCGGUGGCGAAGGCGGGACUCUGGGCCGAUACUGACGCUGAGGAGCGAAAGCGUGGGGAGCAAACAGG